rnacentral:tRNA from 1 species
GCGGGGGUCGCCAAGUCAGGUCAAAGGCGCAAGGCUCAGGACCUUGUGGCGAAGGCCUUCGUGGGUUCAAAUCCCACUCCCCGCACCA